rnacentral:rRNA from 1 species
GACGUAGGGCGCGAGCGUUGUCCGGAUUUAUUGGGCGUAAAGAGCUCGUAGGCGGCUUGUCGCGUCGACCGUGAAAACUUGGGGCUCAACCCCAAGCCUGCGGUCGAUACGGGCAGGCUCGAGUUCGGUAGGGGAGACUGGAAUUUCUGGUGUAGCAGUGAAAUGCGCAGAUAUCAGGAGGAACACCGGUGGCGAAGGCGCCACUCUGGGCCGGUACUGACGCUGAGGAGCGAAAGCGUGGGGAGCAAACAGG